GUAUCCACAGGCUUCAGGGACCGACCUGCCAGCAGUUGCCCCUGCCAGCAGUUGCCAGCCGAGCUCUGCUGCAGGUUCUGAAGAGGGGGAUGAUGAGCAGCCUUCCUGCUCACAUGCUGUGGGACAGGCAACUGGACAGCCACAGGCUCCGAAGAGGGACCACUCCCCUUCAUCCUCUUCAUCGGAUGAAGACACAGAAGAGCCUAGUGGUAGUCGGUAAGCUUUGUGUCAUUUCAUAAAUGAAUAAAGGGCAUGUUUAUAUGAGCAUGAUUGAAAGCUUGUUGUUUCAGACAGUGCUGUCAAUAUGUGUUCUUAUAAUGUGUGAAUGUCUAUUUCAGCUCUGCGAUUGAAAGGAAGCGGAGGGCUAAGUCCACCUGGCUUAGUUUUCUUGACCUGUUUCCGGUGACUGUUCAUGCCACGACACCCACAUCUGAGGAAAUUGUCGGCGGUGGGUUUGAUCGGGAAUCCCUCCGUUACUUUCACAACAAAUGGAGGACAGUCCAGCGGGAACAGCGCAUCCAAUAUAUCUUGGAUAAGUGCAAGUUCAGGAACCGCCCCUCAGAGGCCAGGGUAUACCAUCUGCUCCAUGCUGAGAACUGGUCGGCCAACUGUCCAAGCGCCAUGGAUGUGGUCAAGUCUUGGGUCCCCGUAAAGGACCACAUCAAGAGUCCAGACAUUAUCCGCCGUAUUCAGGAACAGUCUUGGAAAGGACUUUGCCUGAAAGACUUUGGGCCACCAAAGAACUGUAAUGGGUUGGGAGCAGUAGCUCUCCAGCCCAGAAGGUUUUAGAACCCAAGUGCUGAGCAGUGGAUCUCAAAGCAGGUAAACCCAAGAAAAAGGAAAGUAAUAAUAAUAAUAAUAAUAAUAAUAAGAAGAAGAAUUAAUAUAUAAUUGUAAAUAUAUAUAUUAAUAUUAUAUAAUAAUAU